AUAGCUCCCCGCCUGGCCUUUGGGCCUUUGCCGGGAUCUCGGGGUCUAUAUAAGUGCACGGGGGACCCGCCGCCCGAAAGCCUGGGUCCUAACGCCGGCGAGAGGGUUAGGGUUUUACGAGGGGCAGAAUUCGUUGACGUUACAGGGAGAAGAACAGAUCCUUCCUAACUUCCUCGACUUCUCCAUCUCAUGGAGAUCUGAUCACCAAUAGAUAGCAAUGGCGAUCUCGAAUCUGUUUUUCUUCCUUCUGAUCGCGCUCUUCGCCUCCUCAACAGCUGCCGAUGCGAUCCAUGGCUGUGGCGGGUUCGUCGAGGCGAGCUCGUCUUUGAUCAAAUCAAGAAAGGCUUCUGAUACGAAGUUGGAUUACUCAGACAUCACGGUUGAGCUUUGCACAGUUGAUGGGUUGGUCAAGGACAGGACUCAAUGUGCUCCAAAUGGUUACUACUUUAUCCCAGUUUAUGAUAAGGGUUCAUUUAUUGUCAGAGUGAAGGGGCCUGAUGGGUGGUCAUUUGAACCUGAUACUGUUCCUGUUAUUAUUGACCAAAACGGCUGUAACGCAAAUGCAGAUAUCAAUUUUCGGUUUACAGGAUUCAUGAUAUCAGGAAGGGUUAAGGGUGCUGUUGGUGGUGAGAGUUGUUCCUUAAAGGAUGGAGGACCUUCUGGUGUAGCAGUUGAGCUAUUGUCACCAUCAGAUGAUGUCAUUGCAUCUGUUCUGACAUCAGCAACAGGGGAUUAUUCUUUGACAAACAUCAUUCCAGGAAAAUACAAGUUACAUGCUUCACACCCAAAUUUAGAAAUUGAAGUUAGAGGUUCACCAGAGGUCAAUCUGGGCUUCGGAAAUAUUAUGGUGGAUGAUAUCUUCUUUGUAUCGGGGUACGAUCUUCAUGGAUUUGUAGUUGCACAGGGAAAUCCAAUUUUAGGAGUUCAUGUAUAUUUAUAUUCAGAUGACGUGUUAACGGUGCAUUGUCCCCAAGGAGUUGGUACUGCCCCAAGGGAAAAAAUUGCACUUUGCCAUGCCAUUUCUGAUGCGGAUGGGAAGUUUACAUUUAGAUCGAUACCUUGUGGGGUAUAUGAGCUUCUACCUUACUACAAGGGGGAGAACACGAUUUUCGAUGUUUCACCAUCUUCAAUGAGUGUAUCUAUUGAGCAUCAUCAUGUAACAAUCCCCCAAAAGUUUCAGGUCACUGGAUUUUCUGUUGGAGGCCGUGUUGUUGAUGGUUAUGGUGCUGGAGUGGAUAAUGCAACAGUUAUAGUGGAUGGGCAGUUGAGGGCUAUUACAGAUGGUCAAGGGUACUACAUGCUUGAUCAAGUUACAUCAAAGCAUUACUCCAUAGGGGCAGAGAAGGCCCACUACAAGUUUAACACACUGGAGAAUUUCUUGGUCAUGCCAAACAUGGUUUCCAUUGAUAACAUAGAAGCUGUCUACUAUGAUAUCUGUGGUGUUGUUCACAUGAUCGCUGCAACUUCAAAGGCUAUGGUGAUGCUGACACAUGGGCCUGAUAAUGUCAAGCCUCAAAAGAAACUAGUAGACGAGAAUGGAAAUUUCUGUUUUGAGGUUCCAGCUGGUGAUUACCGGUUAUCUGCUCUUGGAGUAGAUUCUGCUAGUACUUCUGGCCUAAUGUUUUCACCACCAUAUGUUGAUGUCAAGGUUAACCGCCCAGUGCUUAAUGUAGAGUUUUUUCAGGCACUAGUUGAUAUUCAUGGUACUGUACUCUGCAAGGAGAACUGCAACCAGAAUGUUUCUGUUUCUCUUGUAAGAUUAGUGGAUGCAGGCAUGCAGGAAAGAAGGAUAAUUGCCUUGACUCAUGAGAGUGGUGAUUUUAUGUUUCGAAAAGUCCUUCCUGGAAGAUAUCGACUUGAGGUGAAACAUAUUUCAUCAUCAGCAAUGCCGGAGGAGGAUAAUUGGUGCUGGGAUCGAAGUGCUAUUGACUUGGAUGUGGGUGCUGAGGAUGUAACUGGAAUUGUCUUUGUCCAGAAAGGCUACUGGAUCAGCAUAGUUUCAACUCAUGAUACAGAUGCCUACAUUCAGCAAUCUGAUUCUUCUCGUGUUGAUUUGUCGAUAAGGAGAGGGUCACAAAAAAUAUGCGUGGAGUCUCCUGGGCAGCAUGAACUUCAUUUCGUGAACCCAUGCAUAUUCUUUGGAAGCUCAUCAUUGACAUUUAAUACCUUGAAUCCAGUGCCUAUAUAUCUUACUGGAAAGAAGUACCUCCUUAAAGGAGAAGUUCACAUGGACCUGGCCUUAAAUCAAGAUGCAGUUGACUUAUCUGAGCACAUAGUUGUUGACAUGUUUAAUAGAGAUGGAGUUUUUCUUGAUACCAUCUCUACUAAAUUUGCUCCUGAUAUAAAUGACCAAAGGGCUGUUGCUGUAUAUGAAUACUCAAUCUGGUCAGAUCUUGGAGAGGAAUUCAUCUUCGUUCCUCGGGACUCAAGAACUAGCACGGUAAAGAAGAUCCUUUUCUACCCAAGACAGCGUCUGGUGUCAGCUACCAUUGAUGGAUGCCAAGCUCCUAUUCCCCCAGUUGUGGGUCAGGUUGGGCUAUACCUUGAAGGAUCAGUGUCCCCCGCUCUAUCUGGUGUUAAUAUACGAAUUCUAGCAGUAGGGGAGAGCAGCUAUGCUCCUUUACAGAAAGGGGAUUUGGCUUUUGAAACAGAGACAGGACCAGAUGGUUCUUUUACUGCUGGUCCGUUAUAUGGUGAUACAACUUACAACAUUGAAGCCUCGAAGCCUGGUUAUCAUGUUAGAAAAGUGGGAAGCAAUUCUUUUACCUGUCAAAAACUCGGUCAGAUUGUUGUUAAUAUUUAUGAUGGAGCAGAAGCUGGAGAGUUGCUUCCUUCAGUUCUGUUAUCAUUAAGUGGCGAGGAUGGUUACAGGAACAACUCAGUUAGCAGUGCUGGUGGAACUUUUGUCUUUGAUAACUUAUUCCCUGGAAGUUUCUAUUUGCGUCCACUGCUGAAGGAGUAUGCAUUUUCUCCGUCUGCAGUGGCAAUAGAAUUGGAUUCUGGAGAGUCUAAAGUGAUUGAUUUUUAUGCAACACGUGUUGCUUACAGUGCUAUGGGCAGUGUUUCGUUACUUGCUGGUCAGCCAAAGGAAGGUGUUAAUGUUGAAGCACGAUCGGAAUCCAAAGGCUACUAUGAGGAAGCAACAACUGAUAGUCUUGGAAAUUUUCGUCUUAGGGGACUCCUCCCAGAUACAACUUAUUUAGUAAAAGUAGUGGCGAAGGACUACCUUGGAGUCACGGCGGUUGAACGAGCUUCUCCUGAUUCUGUUGUUAUAGAGGUGGGAUCUGAGGAUAUCAGAGGCUUGGAUUUUGUAGUGUUUGAACAACCAGAGAGAACCAUUUUAAGUGGUCAUGUGGAAGGAAGUGAUCUCGAAGUAUUACAGCCACAUCUCUCUGUGGAAGUCAGAUUGGUUGCUGUUCCAUCUAAAAUUGAGACAGUCUUUCCUCUGCCACUCUCGUACUUCUUCCAAAUACAUGAUUUGCCCAAGGGCAAGCACCUUGUGCAGCUUCGGUCAGGGCUACCAUCAAGCACUCACAAGUUUGAAUCUGAUAUAUUAGAAGUUGAUUUGGAAAAACAACCUCAAAUUCAUGUGGGUCCUCUCAGAUUUAAAGUUGAGGAAUAUUAUCACAAACAGGAACUAACUCCAGCUCCAGUCUUUCCACUUGUAGUUGGAUUAUCUGUCAUUGCCCUCUUUAUCAGUAUGCCAAGGUUGAAGGAUUUAUACCAGAUGGCUGUAGGAAUGACUCCAACAGGAUCUAGUACGGUAUCCAGUAAGAAGGAAGCCCGAAAGCCACUUUUGAGAAAGAGAGUGUAUUAGUGGAAAGUAAUGGCAUGAUAAUUUUGAGUUACAGGUGACUUAUUUGAAAGAGACUUAGUUGAUCAUUAAUUAUUUCAACGUUUUGAUCAAGGUACGCGUGGCUUGGUCCUGGCCAAAUCUUUACAUGAAUUUGGCCUCAGUUACAUGAUACAGAACCUGGUCUAUCCGCAAUUGGUGGAUUAGGCUUGCAAUUUGGACCACUUCCAGAUGGGUGUAGCUGGGUCCUUUCCGGGGAACUCAACGUGCAGAUUUGAUCUGUUCGGAGUUUUUUCUCCUUUCCUUUUCUUUUUUUUUUAAAUUUUAAAAUUUCUAAUUUCUUAGUUUGGAACCUUUGAUUGACUCGUCAGACACAACUUACACGGUUCCAUUUAACAGGCGUCAUUGCAAUCUGCUUGCUUAUCUUUGCCAUUGUAAAUUAUUCAUGGAUAGCGGUAUUUUCCAUUAGUAUAAAUCCUUUAAUUUGACUUGUUUAAAAUAAGCUGGUAUUAACUUUAAUUCUCACUUGAGUAGA